rnacentral:lncRNA from 1 species
UGCAGAGGGACACCAUACUGUGUAUGUGACCCCUCUGGUCUUUGGGUUAUGAUUUAGUCACAACACUUUUUCCCCCAACUUUCAGGCCCACUUCCUCUGGAUGGGAAGACAGAUGAUCAAGUGACAUCUGCACUAAGUCUAGCAGUUCUCACUCAGAGGAUUCUGUUGGUGCCUUAUCCGUCCUGGAUGAUGUAAAGAUUCUACAGAGAGUGCUAAGAACUUCAAGCAGGGUAAUACUGACUCUUAGCAGUACCUGGCUUACUAAUGGUAAGUUUGAGACCCCUCUGAUAACACAUUUGAAUGCUCAGAUUCUUAUUUAUUUAUUUUUAACAGAAGCUACUUUCAUGCUAUAUGGUUAAGGUCAUCAGAUAGUACUCAAAUUCAUGAUUUAUAUGAAGUUCUCCUAUAAGGUCAGGUUAGCAGGGUCCAUAGGAAUGUUUGUUUGAGGACAGAUAUUUUGUGCACUUGGAGAAUGGAAAAAUUACUCAGUGUCUCCCUUUUUCAUUCUGUUAGUCAUUUUAUAAACAACUCUAAUGGUCUAACUUUACAUGUCUAUCAGUAUCCUAAUAAACUGAAGGAAUAAGCACUCUGCA